rnacentral:lncRNA from 1 species
UAGUAGUAUUAAAAAAGAAUUGAAAAUAUUCGUGAAUCUAGUGAGACAGGUUAACGGAGGAGUGCUAGUACACGCAUUUCUUCCUCAAUCCAUUCCUGUAUUACUGCACUGUUUAGCUGGACUCUGUGCAUUUAUUUAUGUAAGUAUGAAAAAGAAACCCCAUAAUACGUGUCUCUAUCUUCAUUGCUUCGUCAUAUUCCGGAGACAUCAAGAAAAGCCAGUCCUACUCCACAACUGGUACUCCGUAGCUAUUCUUAACCCUUUCUUUGAACAUACCCCGUAGCUGUUAUAACUCCUGGCAACCCACGAAGAAGGAGUGUUUGGAAUUCGUAAAGAGAGAGCCCGUCUCCAAUUGGUAUCGAAACAGCUUCUGAUGCAAGUUUGUGACGGCGUUAUUUGAAUUACAUUUUGCAUUAUUAAAUAUGCUAUUAUCUUUAUAUUAUAUUAUUUAUUUAUAUUAUUAUAUUCAAAUAAUAGCAGACAUAUAAUUGAUAUGGGUAAUUGUUAAAGCUUGGCGUGAUUAAGUAUACACAACUCUGAUUUAUUGAGCGAUAAGUGUUGCUACUGUCUUUGGUCUCUCUACAUUUGGAAGUUACUGAAAAUAACAACAUAGUAUUGAAAUAUUUAUGCUGCAAUUAUUCAUUAAUGAUAAUACAUGAAUAUCAUGUAUCACAAAGAUAUAAUUAGUGCAUACAUAUGUAAGUAUUUAAGUAUGCAGUAAGUUGUAUACUCAAACCUCAUAAUUUCCAAUGUUUUAGACUCGAUUUUGAUAAUCUAUAAAUAUCCUUACUAGUAAAUAAAAUACAGUAUCUUAA